CCACCUACAUGGGGUGAAUCGGACGCCUGCGUCUCGUGAGAGACGGAGGGGCCCGUAGGAGACCUUCCUGCUCCGAACCCGUCAGCUAACCCGGUAGGCGAGAAGGAAGGAAAGG
rnacentral:ncRNA from 2 species